CCUACGGGUGGCAGCAGUGAGGAAUAUUGGUCAAUGGACGAGAGUCUGAACCAGCCAAGUAGCGUGAAGGAUGACUGCCCUAUGGGUUGUAAACUUCUUUUAUAUGGGAAUAAAAUGUUCCACGUGUGGGAUUUUGUAUGUACCAUAUGAAUAAGGAUCGGCUAACUCCGUGCCAGCAGCCGCGGUAAUACGGAGGAUCCGAGCGUUAUCCGGAUUUAUUGGGUUUAAAGGGAGCGUAGGUGGAUUGUUAAGUCAGUUGUGAAAGUUUGCGGCUCAACCGUAAAAGUGCAGUUGAAACUGGCAGUCUUGAGUACAGUAGAGGUGGGCGGAAUUCGUGGGGUAGCGGUGAAAUGCUUAGAUAUCACGAAGAACUCCGAUUGCGAAGGCAGUUCACUGGACUGCAACUGACACUGAGGCUCGAAAGUGUGGGUAUCAAACAGGAUUAGAUACCCUUGUAGUC
rnacentral:rRNA from 1 species